CUAGGGCAGCCCAGAAGUGAAGAUAUAAAGGAAGAUGGCAAGGGAAGCCCCAGCUCUGAGGAAUGAUUGGGCAAGAGCAGCCCUCCUUAGCAAACAUAACAUCCAUCUGCUAAAUGUUCCUUUAGAGUUUUUCUCCAGUGAAAAGCUGUGUGUUGAGUUUCAACUUCAGAUCUGUGCAAAUGACUAACACAAGAACCACAGCUGCAGAGAGGUUCAAGCUGUCAUAGCAUGGGGAACAUUCAGUUCAGAGGAAGUUAAGACAGAGAUUCAGAAAAAAAGAAAACUACAGGCCAAUAACCCUGAUGAAUAUGGAUGCAAAAAUUCUCACCAAGAUAUUAGCAAAGCGAAUUCAACAGCAUAUAAAAAGAAUUAUUCACCAUGAUCAAGUGGGAUUCAUUCCUGGACUGCAGGGCUGGUUCAAUAUUUGCAAAUCAAUCAACGUGAUACAUCACAUUAAUAAAAUAUAAGAUCCAUAUGAUCCUGUCAAUCCAUGCAGAAAAAGCAUUUGACAAAAUUCAACAUCCUUUCUUAAUUAAAACCCUCAAGAAAGUUGGGAUGGAAGUAACAUACUUAAACAUCAU